CAGCCGCCGCGGGAAUACGAGGGGGGCAAGCGUUGUUCGGAAUUAUUGGGCGUAAAGGGUGCGUAGGCGGUUUGAUAAGUCUUAUGUGAAAUCUAUGGGCUCAACCUGGGAAUUGCAGUGGAUACUGGGUCACUAGAGUGUGGUAGAGGAUAGUGGAAUUUCCGGUGUAGCAGUGAAAUGCGUAGAGAUCGGAAGGAACAUCUGUGGCGAAGGCGACUAUCUGGGCCAACACUGACACUGAGGCACGAAAGCGUGGGGAGCAAACAGGAUUAGAUACCCCGGUAGUCCCUGUCUCUUAUAC
rnacentral:rRNA from 1 species